CGAAACCAAAGCUGGCGACCGGCGCACGGGUGAGUAACACGUAUCCAACCUGCCUCAUACUCGGGGAUAGCCUUUCGAAAGAAAGAUUAAUAUCCGAUAGCAUAUAUUUCCCGCAUGGGUUUUAUAUUAAAGAAAUUCGGUAUGAGAUGGGGAUGCGUUCCAUUAGUUUGUUGGGGGGUAACGGCCCACCAAGACUACGAUGGAUAGGGGUUCUGAGAGGAAGGUCCCCCACAUUGGAACUGAGACACGGUCCAA
rnacentral:rRNA from 1 species